UGAGAGCCUCUUGUUGAACCCAUUCCCCAGA
rnacentral:piRNA from 1 species